CAUGAGGAUUGCUGCUACUGUAAUAUUUCUCGACAUUCUGUAAAACAUGGUGACAUCAGCCUUCAGACAGC